ACCGGCGCACGGGUGCGUAACGCGUAUGCAAUCUACCUUGUACAGAGGGAUAGCCCAGAGAAAUUUGGAUUAAUACCUCAUAGUAUCUUCGGAAGGCAUCUUCUGAUUAUUAAAGUUCCAACGGUACAAGAUGAGCAUGCGUCCCAUUAGCUAGAUGGUAAGGUAACGGCUUACCAUGGCAACGAUGGGUAGGGGUCCUGAGAGGGAGAUCCCCCACACUGGUACUGAGACACGGACCAGACUCCUACGGGAGGCAGCAGUGAGGAAUAUUGGUCAAUGGGCGCAAGCCUGAACCAGCCAUGCCGCGUGCAGGAAGACGGUCCUAUGGAUUGUAAACUGCUUUUAUACGGGAAGAAACACUGCUACGUGUAGCAGCUUGACGGUACCGUAAGAAUAAGCAUCGGCUAACUCCGUGCCAGCAGCCGCGGUAAUACAGAGGAUGCGAGCGUUAUCCGGAAUCAUUGGGUUUAAAGGGUCCGUAGGCGGCCUUAUAAGUCAGUGGUGAAAUCUCCUAGCUCAACUAGGAAACUGCCAUUGAUACUGUAGGGCUUGAAUUAUUGGGAAGUAACUAGAAUAUGUAGUGUAGCGGUGAAAUGCUUAGAUAUUACAUGGAAUACCAAUUGCGAAGGCAGGUUACUAUCAAUAUAUUGACGCUGAUGGACGAAAGCGUGGGGAGCGAACAGGAUUAGAUACCCUGGUA
rnacentral:rRNA from 1 species